UAGCCGUAAACGAUACUCGCUAGGUGUCGGCCACGGUGCGACCGUUGUCGGUGCCGUAGGGAAGCCGUGAAGCGAGCCACCUGGGAAGUACGGCCGCAAGGCUGAAACUUAAAGGAAUUGGCGGGGGAGCACAACAACGGGUGGAGCUUGCGGUUUAAUUUGGAUUCAACGCCGGAAAUCUUACCGGGACCGACAGCAACAUGAAGGCCAGGCUGAAGACUUUGCCGGAUUAGCUGAGAGGUGGUGCAUGGCGUAGUCGUGU
rnacentral:rRNA from 1 species